GAAGUAGGUCACUGGGGCCAUGCUUUUGAAGGGUAUAUCCCUGCCUCCCACUCUGGCCUUUUCUCUUUGGCUCUACUUCUUGACUGCCAUGAGACAUUGUACCAGACUCUCAAGAAGCCCACACACAGCCUAGACCUGAGCAUUGGAAACAAUUACCACUUGGCUCUUUAUGGCUUGAAGAAGGAGCAGAAAUGUGUUCUUCAUGGGACUUCGGUCUGUUUCUGAGCAACCCAAAUGAACAUGAAGAAUUCACCCCCAAAAUGGAUAUGGAUGCUGUAAAAUGCUUCAGUAUGGAAUAGGAAGAUGAAACAGGGAGGAGCUUAUGGGUCCCAAGAUUCUUCCCGCACCAGCCUUCCAGAUUUGCCAGAAACAAAUCUCACUGUUGAAACCAAUAUUUUCUUUUGAGAAAGUAAUAGGGCUUUUUAUUGUCAAAACAAGAGAUCAUAA